ACCCCAUUACAGGGACAUAUUCUGCAGCAAGGGUUUCAAGGACUUUGGAGCUUGCCAAGGUGUCCAUGUGGCAGAUGAGUGACACAUGGUCAGACAGGUUUGCAUGGAAGCUGUUUAUUGUUUCCAAUAUAUGUUCUCUCCAUUGUGCUUUUGUCCGGAAUAAAUAAUACCUUUCAUCAUGAGAGCUGGUUAACCCUGUCCUUGCCCCUGCAACAGCACAAGACAGCAGGUGCUGAACUACACUCUGACUUGAUCACAGGAAAUUGCAGCAUAAGUCACCAGUCUGGAGGAACCUGAGAAAGGUGAGGACUAGCAGCUGGACACCUUAGUGGGGUGCCCUCAGAGGCCACGAAGGAGGGCCAGUGCAGUUACCUCGGGAACCACGUGCAACAGAGAUGGCUAUUUUCUGCAGUGUCUUUGUGAGAUCUUACUGCAUUAGCUUUAUGUACCAUGGGCCAGGGAUUGUAUAUAAUUCCAUAGGGGAGAGGAACUAAGAAUGGUGGAGGUGAUUAGGCAAAUUCACACAGGUUGUAACACCUCCAAGGAGGUGUCACCAUGCAGAGAGUCUCACCUUCACUGGUUCAACUGGAUUCUCCAGAGACUAACAGGCAAAGACAAGACUUUUACAAUAAUAGCCUGAGUUUAAACUGACGCCAGUGCUGAUCCUGCAAACGUACAGGGCCUUCUGUCCAAGGGGGCACCCAAUCCUUCUUGGGAAGUGUUGGAAGGACUUUUGUCUGAGACUCCAUAAGACUGAGGGGUGGCUUCUGGUAACCUUUGCAUAUAUGUGUGUAUAGCACAUGUAUAGUAACUCUUAAUGUUUUUGUAUGUUUUCUCUGUCAUGCUUUCACCUUAAGGAUAAAAGUGCUUGCUUGGAAAGAGUUGGGUGGGAACUUGUGACUGCUGGCGAUUACAGCCAUUCAGAGCCCACAGAGAGAAAGCAAAGUGAAGAUGCUGGCCUGGUCAGGCAGUUUGGCUUACUGGGGAUAUUGCACUGUAGGCAGGGAACUGUACAGCAUGGGAAAGACCCCUGUCGGAAUGGGGAGAGAUGCAAGUCUCUGCACAAGAGAGGUGACGGCUGAGGAGUCAGGGGGCUAGAGUAGGUGCCCUCAAGGGAUCAGGGAGGGCAAACACAGGGGCAAUUGCCCUGAACUGUGAUACCAUGACAAUAGGGUUUCAUUUGGGGGGCUGCCUUAGGGGCUGUAUUGUGAUGGAAAAUCCAACCACUUCAUCCACUCCAGUAGUGGCACACAGUCAACAGAAGGGAUCUGGGCCUCCUGUUACAUGCCACGGCGUAGCAAACACACAGGGACAUGAUCUGCUGUAGCCAGGCUCUUGUCAGCUGCCCAGAUGGCCUCUUGGGGCCAUAGGCAGCCCUGUGUAAGUUAGAGCGGCCCUGAAGGUGCGUAAUGUAAACCAGGGGCCUGGUCUGCAAUCAGGGAGGCACAAGGUGAGUCUCCUCGGCCUUCUACUGCUGCCCCACAUUUCGUACCCUGAGCAGGCUCAGCCAAAACAGAAAAUCAGAACCUCUCUUCUUUUUGGAAACAAAAGCCCAGCUUCUCCUCUGCAGGGCCCAGUGUCAUCAGUAGCAAGGAGCUUGCCCAAAGCCCUUUAGCUCCUCAAUGCAAUGCAGGCUGUGGAACCAGUUUGCAAGUCAGCAUCCCUUCCUGCCAAAUUCAUGUCUUGCUGUGAUUAGGGAACUAUUUACCUAUUUCCACCUAGCAGCAAUAAGCCCUUGCUGUCUCUGGGUCUCCAUCUAGUCCCACAGCUCAGAUUGCAUGGGUCCCUUGUUUGCUGGUUUUGAAAAGCAAUCAGACAGCCUCCCACAUCUGAGAACUUUGCUCCUGCCAGCAAGGAUCAGUUACGUAACUGCCAAGGGAAAGGGGGCAGUUCCACAUUAAGAGAACUCCCCGCACAUAUUGUUGCGUGUCCAAUAUUCUUCCAGUGCUGUGGAAGCUGAAUUACUGCGAGUGAUGCUUUCCCUAGCUGCCCAGGCACACUUGUGAAGGGACGUGGCUUCCACAAACAAGACACAUAUGUGAGCAAGACUGCAUGAUCUCCCCCCAGUAAAGGGAGACCACGGUGAAGAGCGUUGCAAUUAUCGGAGCUGGCGUGAGUGGACUGACCUCCAUUAAGUGCUGCCUGGAUGAGGAGCUGGAGCCCACCUGCUUUGAGAGAAGCGACGACAUCAGAGGUCUCUGGAGAUUCACAGGACAGACGUUUCAAGGCAAGUACUUUCACAGCCGCCAUUACAAGCAUCCAAAUGUGUUUGAGGGGAAGAGAGUCCUUGUGAUUGGCAUGGGGAAUUCUGGAGUGGAUAUCACCAUUGAGGCCAGUCAUGUGGCUAAAAAGAGAUGUGAUACGGGAGCCUGUGCUGAAUGAUGACCUUCCAGGCUGUAUCAUCACUGGAAAAGUCUCAGUAAAACAGUCUGAAGGAGAUCAAGGAAAACUCAGUCGUGUUUCAGAAUAGCCCCACAGAGGAGCCUGUUGAUGUCAUCGUCUUUGCCACAGGAUACAAGUUCUCCUUCCCUUUCCUUGAGGAAUCUGUUGUCAAAGUUGAAAAGAAGCAGGCAUCCCUGUACACAUAUAUCUUCCCCCCCCCCCCCCAUCUGGAGAAGCCAACCCUGGCCGUCGUUGGCCUCAUCAAGCCACUUGGCGC